rnacentral:snRNA from 1 species
AGAGAAUCACUUGAUCCUGGGAGGUGGAGGUUGCAGUGAGCCGAGAUUGCACCACUGCACUCCAGCCUGGGCGACAAGA